AGAGUUUGAUCAUGGCUCAGGAUGAACGCUAGCGGCAGGCUUAACACAUGCAAGUCGAGGGGUAUAGGUUUUCGGGCCUAGAGACCGGCGCACGGGUGCGUAACGCGUAUGCAAUCUACCUUUUACAGAGGGAUAGCCCAGAGAAAUUUGGAUUAAUACCUCAUAGUAUUAUUGAAUGGCAUCAUUUAAUAAUUAAAGUCACAACGGUAAAAGAUGAGCAUGCGUCCCAUUAGCUAGUUGGUAAGGUAACGGCUUACCAAGGCAACGAUGGGUAGGGGUCCUGAGAGGGAGAUCCCCCACACUGGUACUGAGACACGGACCAGACUCCUACGGGAGGCAGCAGUGAGGAAUAUUGGUUAAUGGGCGCAAGCCUGAACCAGCCAUGCCGCGUGCAGGAUGAAGCAUCUAUGGUGUGUAAACUGCUUUUGUACGAGAAGAAACACUCCUUCGUGAAGGAGCUGACGGUAUCGUAGAAUAAGGACCGGCUAACUUCGUGCCAGCAGCCGCGGUA
rnacentral:rRNA from 1 species